rnacentral:rRNA from 1 species
GAUGAACGCUGGCGGCGUGCCUAAUACAUGCAAGUCGAGCGAACAGACGAGGAGCUUGCUCCUCUGACGUUAGCGGCGGACGGGUGAGUAACACGUGGAUAACCUACCUAUAAGACUGGGAUAACUUCGGGAAACCGGAGCUAAUACCGGAUAAUAUAUUGAACCGCAUGGUUCAAUAGUGAAAGACGGUUUUGCUGUCACUUAUAGAUGGAUCCGCGCCGCAUUAGCUAGUUGGUAAGGUAACGGCUUACCAAGGCAACGAUGCGUAGCCGACCUGAGAGGGUGAUCGGCCACACUGGAACUGAGACACGGUCCAGACUCCUACGGGAGGCAGCAGUAGGGAAUCUUCGGCAAUGGACGAAAGUCUGACCGAGCAACGCCGCGUGAGUGAAGAAGGUUUUCGGAUCGUAAAGCUCUGUUGUAAGAGAAGAACGGGUGUGAGAGUGGAAAGUUCACACUGUGACGGUAUCUUACCAGAAAGGGACGGCUAACUACGUG